GAUGCCUAUUUAAACGUCGGUAAUAAAUUUACCUACAUAAAUCAUAAGAAAGCAUAUGACGACAUGUGAAUUGAGCAGCGCUUCGCUUUCAGAGACGGUGGGGAGUACGUCCAACUUUUAGCGUCACUUUGAGGAAGCUCAAACAAAGUAAUAAACCGGAGUACCUGGAGAGAACCCAUACAUGCAUGACAAGAAGAUGCAAGCUGUAUGCAGAAGGACCCCAUCGCUAGGAGCUGAGUGGGUGAGGAGCUAGCCAGCGAUGCUUUGUGAGACAGAGGUUUGGUUGGGGCCUUCAGAUCAGAGGAGGAGCUAUGUGGAAAUAGCUGCAGCAGAAGAUUUAAGUAUUCUUCCACCAUGAAAGGAUCAAAGCAACACUGCAGACUCAUCAUAUCUGACAUUUUGAACAGACAGGAUUAACAGGGCGUCAUUUUCUUUAGUUUUGUCAUUGUGGAAGUGCUACUUUAAGGUAAAAAUCUUUAUCUAUGAUGU